UAAACGGCCUUUCUCAAGGCCAACAAAUUUCUAUCCAAAGAGAAUU
rfam:Aedes albopictus isolate Foshan contig49149, whole genome shotgun sequence.